CCGGCGAGUUACGAUUUGAUGCAAGGUUAAGCAGUAAAUGUGGAGCCGUAGCGAAAGCGAGUCUGAAUAGGGCGUUUAGUAUUUGGUCGUAGACCCGAAACCAGGUGAUCUACCCUUGGUCAGGUUGAAGUUCAGGUAACACUGAAUGGAGGACCGAACCGACUUACGUUGAAAAGUGAGCGGAUGAACUGAGGGUAGCGGAGAAAUUCCAAUCGAACCUGGAGAUAGCUGGUUCUCUCCGAAAUAGCUUUAGGGCUAGCCUCAAGUGAUGAUUAUUGGAGGUAGAGCACUGUUUGGACGAGGGGCCCCUCUCGGGUUACCGAAUUCAGACAAACUCCGAAUGCCAAUUAAUUUAACUUGGGAGUCAGAACAUGGGUGAUAAGGUCCGUGUUCGAAAGGGAAACAGCCCAGACCACCAGCUAAGGUCCCAAAAUAUAUGUUAAGUGGAAAAGGAUGUGGCGUUGCCCAGACAACUAGGAUGUUGGCUUAGAAGCAGCCAUCAUUUAAAGAGUGCGUAAUAGCUCACUAGUCGAGUGACACUGCGCCGAAAAUGUACCGGGGCUAAACAUAUUACCGAAGCUGUGGAUUGUCCUUUGGACAAUGGUAGGAGAGCGUUCUAAGGGCGUUGAAGCAUGAUCGUAAGGACAUGUGGAGCGCUUAGAAGUGAGAAUGCCGGUGUGAGUAGCGAAAGACGGGUGAGAAUCCCGUCCACCGAUUGACUAAGGUUUCCAGAGGAAGGCUCGUCCGCUCUGGGUUAGUCGGGUCCUAAGCUGAGGCCGACAGGCGUAGGCGAUGGAUAACAGGUUGAUAUUCCUGUACCACCUAUAAUCGUUUUAAUCGAUGGGGGGACGCAGUAGGAUAGGCGAAGCGUGCGAUUGGAUUGCACGUCUAAGCAGUAAGGCUGAGUAUUAGGCAAAUCCGGUACUCGUUAAGGCUGAGC
rnacentral:rRNA from 1 species